UAUUUACCGUUUCUCAGCUUAUUUUCAAAUGUUUUUAUAAUAUAGGUGCUAUUAUUACCCAAUUUUACAGAUGAGGACAUUGGCUUAGAAAACAAAAAAGAACAUCCUUAAAGAGGUCCAGACAACUGCUCAUCUGGCGAAGGACAAAUGGCUGUUUUUGGAGUAUGCUCUUGAGCUUUCCUGCUUUGGUCAUUUGCUCUUCCACUUCUGCUUUCAACACAGCAUGCCUCAAACUAUCCUAGUGAGGAGCCUUGAAUUUAGUCAGAUAUUUGUCAAGGUUAGAGCUUCCAAUCAAGGCCUUGGAGGAUCCUGGAAUGGAAAUUCCUUUAGGGGGAGGAGGAACAGCUUCAGAAACUCUUAUUUGAUCUUACUCACUAUGGCCAAGGACACAAUAUGAAGGUUGCCAAGUAUGUCCAUCCCAACUAUACAUUCAGGGACCAGGAAAAUGACCAUCAGAUGAAAAAAAGUCUUUGAAAGGAAACAUUUUGCGAUGUGGAG